rnacentral:lncRNA from 1 species
UAAGAUGUGGGAUAUAUUGCCUUGACUUCUUGUGACCUGCUUAUUUGUUCCCAUGGCGGCUGGGGAGACAUGUGAGACAGUCAGCCCCGGUUUUAUCAUAAAGCAGCUCAUUUGCGUUUCCAUGAGAAGGCCAUUCCCUCUGUAAAUAUGGGACUUGGAAGCAGACGCAAUUCGAACCUGCAGUUUAAUGCCAUAUUGCAUAUGAGCAGAGUUGCCUUUCUCAGGGAUAGCCUGGGGCAUUUGGGCACUUGAGGCAAAAUGCCUUGCUACCACCCCUACAAUGGGGGAGGCAAAUGUGGGAAUGUUCGGGGAGGCAGGAGAGGAUAUAUUGUUUAUUAAUAUUCUUCCUAACUUACGCUAGCAAGUUCUAUAACUUAGCAGAGUUUUAACACUCCCCUUUAAAUGCACAGCAGGUAGCUGGUUGCAAGCUUGAUUAAGCUUCUCAAUAUAGAUUCCUGGUAAGAUCCCUUUAUUUCCCUCUUAAAAGCUUAAACACACCACAAUCUUAUUUAAGAUAUAUAAAAGUAGUUUACUCACAUCAUCAGUUCACAGUUGGAUCCCUGAAGGCAAACUUAGUUACAGAUAUAUAUACACGUGAGUCUAUCCUAUAUGGAGAUAGUCCCUUUGUCUUCUGUAGGCUGAUCAUCUCUAGCUAAAAAAGCUGCUGGUCCAUCAAAGAGAGGAAGUCAAAAAGAGAAAGAUGGCUGCAUGCCUUGUGCUUUGGUUACCUGCACAGGUAAGGUCACACCCACCUCUAGUCACAUGCAAGAGGAAGUAUGUCUCAGCCCAGGAGGAAACAGGAGGUUUUCGACUGGCUGGCCCAAACAUCCCCUUGCAUGUCCACUCUAGGAAAACAAGGAAUGUUGUACUUGACUUUUACUUAUGUAUCACAUCCCACAGCAAAUUCCGUAAGGAAACCCUUUCAGAGUCUUCUCCACUGGGACGGUGGGCAGGGUGAGAUGCUUUCUGCAUCCCUGCUUCUACCUGGUGGUGGGGCUUUGCACCAGCUUCUCCCUUCCUUUGCACAUCUCCUCCACCCCUGCUCAGUGAUGGGGUUUCUCCUGAAGGGAGAAUCUGGUACAAAGCCCCACCACACUGCUGGGAGGGGUGGAGAGAUGACCACCUCCCCUCUAGUUGACUUGGUGUUCUGCAGAGGUUUGUUGCUGUUCCCUUUCUGCCCUUAGAGACUAUGGAGACCCGUGGCAAAGCUGGACAGUGGAAUGGGUGUGUAGCCCUUUGCGGGGGUGCCACCUGCGGCAGGUGCCUCCUCCUGCCUCAUGGGUGAGCCGGCACUUAAUACUGAUUUAAGAAUAAAGGAGGCAAACAAACAGAGCCUGGCUUUUCACGUAGUUAUGUCUUGCAUGCUGUUUCUCAGUGUUCAGAAUAAAAUAUUGCACUAUGCUGGCAGCAGUAUGAUGUAGAGAUGGCUAAUGAUGGAUGUGUUGCUUCAUUGAAAAACAUUUAUUAAUACUCAAUAUUAAUUUUGUUUUAAAUAGGAAAGUAUUUUCCAGCCAAACCCUGUGGUUAUAUGCUGACAUAUGAUAUAGUAAUAACAGGCAAAACUUUUGUAGUAAUACAUUUUGGCAACUGAUGUGAAAAUAAAAGAUCCCUUUUUGUUUUCCAAAGGCAACAGCAAAAGCAAGACAUGAUACAAUCUUGUUAUGGGUCCAAGUGCAACAGCAAGGUUCCUUCAGCUAGUUCUACUGCGGUUCUUUAACAGGAGCAGUGUGUUUCUAGUUAAAGCGGAUGAUAUAGCUGUGCUUAGCUCUUUCUGAUCUGAUGGUUGAGAUUCUUCAUUUGUUAAGAUAUGAAUUUCAGUACAUAACUCCUUUUCCCUCCCUUACUAAUUCGCUCAACAACAAGGAAUGCUGUGGCAUCAUUUAUCAAAAGUUGGGAGACCUAACUUCCAGUGGCAGUGGCUGAACCUUUAUUUGCAUUGGAAAGUCUACUUAAGUAUAAAAGCAUACUCCAAAAUGAUCAGGAAUCCCUUUGAUUCCAUAAAUCUCCGGGGGUGUUCCAUCCUAAAGGGGGAGACUGGUGCUGCUAGACCAAACUUCACCAGAUAAUGGCCUGAUCAUGACAUCAGGGCUAAUUCACACCCCCUCUUAAUAUCCGUACCAGCCUCCUCACACCAAAUCAAGGGGCCUAGAUGGAAGUACAGUAGUACCUUGGUUUAAGAACAGCUUAGUUUAUGAACAACUUGGAUUAAGAAUGCUGCAAACCUGGAAGUAGGUGUUUUGGUUUGUGAACUUUGCCUUGAAUCAGAAUAUGUUUUGCUUCCUGUUGAGUGUGUUCCAUUUGUCAAUUGAGUCCCCCACUGCUAUGGGAAAGCACGCCUUGGUUUAAGAACGCUUUGGUUUAAGAACGGACUUCUGGAAUGGAUUAAGUUCGUAAAUCAAGGUACCACUGUAAUAUAAAGGAAGAGUUGAGCUUUUUGUUAGGAGGUAUGGAAUAAUUAAGAGCUAGAGUUGAGAGUUGGCAUAAUUUAGUAACCAAGAAUGUGAAUUGGGAUUACCCUGGUUUCAAUCUCAGCCCUUGUCUGCAGUAAUGACCUGCUUGAUAGUAAUACUUACAUGAUGUGGUUGUAAGAUUACUUAGAAACCUUAUGUGAAGCACUUGGCAUAAGUUUCUACAGUUUCAGAAUAAUUGGAAGCAACAGUAUUGCCUAAGCCUGGAGACUGGUUUUCUUCUACAGUAUUUUAUCUGGUGAAAAGAAAUUGAUUUUUUAAAAGUUUUCCAUUGGUUCAGUAAUAUGGGAAAAGACUCCCUCCGUCAACUUGAAAGUAAAUGGGUAGGCUUCUGUUGUGUGUAUCUGCGCAUAGCACACUAAUGGCAGAAAGAAAUUGCUUCCACUUGCUUUCCAGAACAGAGCUGUGUUAAGUACAGUAUAUGUAUACAUCUGUUGAAUGCAGUUUCUUACAAAGUCCAGUACUGUAUGUGGAAAGUCUCUUGUGUUUCAUUCCUUUCCCAGCCUGUGACCUUUUCCAUACAAGGCCUCUGCCCUGCCACUGAAAUCCACAAUAUCUGCAGCAUCUUUGGAAACAGGAUUUAAUAUUUGUUCAGAUACAGGAAAUUGCCUGAGUCCUUAUCUUAAUUAUUAAAACAUUUGCCGGUAGGGGGAUACAGUAUUUCAGACCUUUGAUUCCAAAUAUGAGAAGGAAACAUUCAGCCCGAUAACAUCAAGGUAAGACCGUUUAUUCAGCAGAAAUACACUUGUGCUUUUGUCAGGCGCUAAUUGGGGCGCUAACUGAAAAGUACAGUUGUGUAAAGUCUCCUGUAAAAAAAGGAAAAGGGGAAAAAAAAACCUUCUGUGGAAUGCAGUUGCUCACAAAGUCCAAUAUACUGAAAGACUGCUGUGCUAUGCAUUUCAAAAGGAUGAAAGUCGCUGCAAGAGAGCUGGAACUGGGCUGCUGAACCACAAAGGGCAACAUUCUUGUCGCCGUUCGUCCUCAGAAGUUUCUACACCGUUGCAAAUUGCCAGAACCCCCCUAAAGGAUAUGCUGAACUGCUCCCCCAGUUUAUUUUGUUCUGUGAGCUAUACAGAUGUAACUCUUAAGUGGGGAACCUACGGCCUAGAUGCCAGAUUUUUAAAAAAACCUCAUUCUGGAAAUGAAGGCAGAAAGAAAGCCUACUUUCUUAUAUGAAAAUGUAUAUUUCCCCUUAAAUAAUAAUAUCCCCUAAUUUCCCUUAUCAGUUAAUUAAUACUUAUAAGCCACCUUUCAUCAAUACAGGGGAUGCAGGUGGCGCUGUGGGUUAAACCACAGAGCCUAGGACUUGCCGAUCAGAAGGUCAGUGGUUCGAAUCCCCGCGACAGGAUGAGCUCCCAUUGUUUGGUCCCAGCUCCUGCCAACCUAGCAGUUUGAAAGCACGUCAAUGUGCAAGUAGAUAAAUAGGUACCGCUUGGGCGGGAAGGUAAACGGCGUUUCUGUGCGCUGCUCUGGUUCGCCAGAAGCGGCUUAGUCACACUGGCCACAUGACCCGGAAGCUGUAUGCCGGCUCCCUCGGCCAGUAAAGCGAGAUGAGCGCCGCAACCCCAGAGUCGGCCAUGACUGGACCUAAUGGUCAGGGGUCCCUUUACCUUUACCUUCAUCAAUACAGAUAGCAUAGCAGAAAAUGGAACGCAAAAUAAAAACAAGCCAGUCAAAUAAUAAUGCAAGUAACACAUCUCCUAGUCAGCUUUGCAAUUCAUUUGCAGGAUAACAGAAUAAAGCGAGGACUGAAUUAGGUCACGAUAGAAACAUGGUGCAGCUGCUUGUGAAAAAAAGGAGCACUCUCAUAUUAAAAUAUCUUAUAUUAAAAAAAAACCCUUUGGAGUAACUUUAAACGGAAAAUAAAUUAUUUAUAAAUUAUUUAUUUACAUUUCGCCUAAAAGUCUCCCAGGGAAGAGAUUCCACAGCUUUUCUGGGAAGCAUUUCAAUGGCCAACCAUUCUGACUGUUUGACGAUCAGGAAACAUGUACUAUCUAAAUCUGCUUUCCUAGUACUUGAACCUGUCAUGUCUUGUCCUUCCCCCAGUGACUGUAGUAAACAGCACUCCCUGACCUGUGGUUCUUUCCCAGAUAAUUUAUAAUUUAAGAAACUGGUACAGUUGGUGUGUGUGUGUGUGUCAUGUGGUGGGGGGGAGAGGAUUAACCCCCCAAAAAUUGAUGUAUUGUGUACACUAUUCUGUAUGACAGAUGGGCUACCCUGUUGAAUUCCAACUGCUGAGCUUGCAAAUAAAUUGGCAAAAUUAUAUCCGUUGUUCAUUGCCAGUAACAUCCAUUGUGCAUGCGAUACCGUAGAAGCACAUAUAGUAUCAUCUUCAAUCUACAAAGUUCACAGACCUGAUAUAUUUUAAAGGUCACUAGCAUGCAAAGAUAGAAUCAUUAGUUUAUAGGCCACUAAGACACUAUCUUGGCAGAAGUAAAGUCAGAAAUAUUGCAGCUCUAUAUUAUUCUAAAACACAAGAACAUCUUCUCUUUCUUGAUUUCCUAGAACAUUCUC